GCUCUAGUCAUUCUGUGAGAGGAACUCCAGGAGACCAGAUCCAACUCGCAAUCAGCUAUAGUGAAGUUAUGAUAUGAGAAGCACCAACUUGGCACAAGACUUGGGAAAGGCAAUGAGGCAGCAGGCAAGCUUUAAGGGAUGACACUUACCUUGAGGGAGCAAGGACAAGUUGUGACCUUCCCAGUCCUCUCUCCAUUUGCAGAUCAGCAAGCUUCUGUCAGCAAGGAGGGGUGGACAAUGAAACUGGGUUCAGCUUGAUUUGUUUUUUGAGACAGGUAUGGCAAGGGGCUGCCAACAAGAUCAAGCUGCAGAGGAAACAGCCACCUGGGGCGUGUUCUUACGUUGCCUGGAAGCUGCACAAGAGGCCAAGUCAAAACAUGCAGAAUUCCAGUUGCCCAUGAUGUCACAGGCUGAGGCCCACACUCCAGAGACACUGUGGACUGACUGGCACCUAUGAGCUGACCUAAUAACAGUUACACCAUUACAGCUCCGAUUCUACAGAACAAUACAUAUCCAGUUCUUAUCUA
rnacentral:lncRNA from 1 species